ensembl:lncRNA
GGAAAAUGUGCCGUUCUUGGUAACUCAGAAAGUUUCUCAGUCUGCUUUCUGCCUGUAGAAAGUUGCAGGCUGUGAUGGUUAAUUUAUAUAUCAACUUGGCUAGUUCACGGUACCCAGCGGUUUGGUCAAACAUUAUUCUAGAUGUUUUUGUGAAGAAAUUCUUUAGAUGAAAUUAACAUUUAAAUCAGUGGACUUUGAGUAAAGCAGAUUGCCUUUCAUGACGUGGUUGGCCUCAUUCAGUCUGUUGAAGGCCAUAACAGAAAAAAGAUUGAUCUCCUCCAGAGAGAUCAGCAGACGGCCUUCAGACUCAAGCUGCAACACGGACACUUCCCUGGGUCUCCAGCCUGCCUGCUGGCCCUGUAGAUUUUGGACUUACUAGCUUCAACAAUCAUAGUUUGAACAAGGCUGAUUUGUCCAGGAGGGAAUUAAAGGAUGUGAUCAACAAAUUAGCACACGCCGAACUAAAAACCGGUGGAUUUUGCUUCUUCUGACUUCGGAAGUGACUUACUGCUCUGUCGGCUAAUCUCCCCAGCAAGGCUGUUUGCUUUGCAGCUAAGCUCAAUCAGCAUAUCAAUGGGAGUCCAAUCAGGAAAACAGAAACGUCUUGAAAUUGAUCUGUGAUUGCCUUGGCAGGUACAAAAUGGUCAAAUACUGGUGACCUAAUAUGGCUCACCUCAUAUUUCCACCUGUUUCCUGCCAUUGCCUUCCCAAGGCCAAACCCUGCUGGAAUGCAGCUGACAGGGGAGCCCAGCCUGCAGUGCUGAGCAGGGGAAGGAAGGAAAUGCUCUCGGAUCAGGGGGCUGAGGCUCCACGCAGAGGCCGGAAACUUAGAAGAAAUGUCUGGGGCAUCACAGCCAGAUGAAGACUGGGUAGGCUUCCACGAAAAGCGCUUCUCCGAAAGACCCUGGAAAAAGUGCCUCUGCAGGUGGAUUCCUUCCCUAAUUCCCCGCCAGCUGCUCUAAAGUCACUCCUCUAACUCCUGGUGGCUGCAGGUAUUGGUGGAGCAUGUCCAUUGGGGCCACAAGACUCUGGGGAGCUUAGUGCUGUGUGGACAUAGGGUUGGGUGUAGGCCUUCUGUUACUCCCCUGCCAUCUUUCUGUCAUUUGACGUCACAAGUGUAAUUUCAAAUAUUUCUUGUCUGAGAUGUAUGGCUGAGCAGCGGUUUAUAAAAUGUGGUUUGAGGAGGUGUUGUGGGUUGAGUCGUGUCCACCAAAGAGAUAUGUGGAAGCUCUGAACCCCAGAACCUGUGAACAUGUGACCUUAUUUGGAAAUAGGGUCUUGCAGAUGUAAUCACAUUAUGAUGGGGUCACAAUGGAUGAGGGUGGGCCCUAAAUCCAACACCUGGUGUCCUUACAAGAAGAGGGAAGUUUGGACACGGAGAGACACAGACACACAGGCAGAAUGCCAUGCGAUGACAGAGGCAGAGAUCUGAGUGAUGUGUCUACAAACCAAGCAACGUCAAGGACUGCCAGCAGCCCCAGAAGCUGGAAGAGGCAGGAAGAAUCCUCCCUGAGGGCCUUCAGAGAGAGCGUGGCCCUGCUGGUGCCUUGAUUUUGGACUUCUGGCUUCUAGAAGUGUGCGAGAAUAAGGUUCUGUUGCUUGAAGCCACCUAGUCUGUGGUGCUUUGUUUUGACGGCCACAGGAAACCAGUAUUGGAGAUUUGGCCACCCCCGAGACAUGAAGUCAUUGGCAAGCUUGAAAUAUGGACACCUUAUCAUGAUUAAUCCUCUUCCACAUCUAUAAUUCAUAACGUUGAAGAGGAAGCGGAGGAAGAAAGAACUUUUGGAAAGGGGAGGGAAGAAAGUUGGAACAGCUUGAGAAAUAUCCGGCAGAAUUCCAUGGUACAAUGGAGAAACCAUCCAGAAAUCGAGAGCGGUCCUGCUAGAAUCAUCUGGGAGCAAGCUGGGAGGAGUCCUCAGGAGCUGCAGAAAGGACAGCUAAUGAAGAACACUGGGCUGGACACUGGGCAGAGUGGGUGACAAGCUCCUCAAAGCAUUCCUGACUAAGACAAUGUGCAAAAUAAGAAAUACAAAUGGCCAAUAGGAUAUGAAAAAAAUUCAGCUUCAAUGAUAAACAAAGGAAUGGAAUUUGGCAAAGAUGUUGAAAUGAUGAUCACACUGCGUGCUGGUAGGAUGUUGUGAGAUAAGUAUUCUCAUUUCCUGCUGGUGACAUUAUAAACUGGUACGGGGUUUCUCCAAAGAUGUGGAUGAAGCUAUGAAGAGCCUUCAAAAUAUUACUACCCUUUGACCAAGUAAUUUCACUCUUGGGAAUUAUCCAAAGGAAAUAGCAACAAGGACACAGACUUACAUGCAUUGUGAUCCAAACUCCGUAAGAAAGAAAAAAAAAGGUAUCUUCAUAGAUAUGUAGACUGCAGGAAAUAAGACAAAAACGUUUGGAAUUGUUAUCUCUUGUUUUGAGUGAUAUUUUGUUUUUUCUUUUUCAAAUUUUUUAGAAAGAACAUGUUUAUUUGGAAAUUAGGAAAACACAACAAAAGUCACUUAAAAGACUAAUACCACCGAAUGCUCACAUCUCUGUCCUUAGAAUUUUUCUACUUUUGUGGAAAUAACAGCCAAGUAUCUUCAGAGUCUUUGGUUACAGGUCUUUCUUUUCAUUUACUUUUAAAUUUCUCACUGAGAGACAGAAUUUACCAGAGUCAUCCUGUGAAACGCUGGGGGUGACUGCACACAUUCAUAUGCUAUUCGAACUGGAUGAUGGUCCUGGGAGGUAAGGAAAGAUGCUAUUAUCCCCAUUUUACUGUUAGGAAAGAAAAAGAAAGGAACUGGGUGUCUUCCUGAGAGUCAUUCUACCUGUGGGAGGCAGAGCUGGGGCCUGACACAGAUUCACUGAUUCUAAGCCCUGAGCUCCUGUUUCGACACCAGGAUUUCUAUCACGCACGGGAGAAACACACACCCAAUUAGAGCCACAGCUAAAAUUCCCUGUAAUUGCAAAAGAGAGCAAGGAGAGAAGCUGGUUUUAUGUCCAGACCGGAAAAGGGGGAGGGAGGCAACUGCAAGCUGCACAAAUUAUACACAUUCCAAAUGCUUAUUUAUACAAACCCCUCCACUCCACCCUCCACCCACGUCUGUAAUGUAACCAACAUGCAAAAACGAAAAUCUGUUUUUGAGCCAGGUGCCAAAAUAAUCAUUGUUAAUACAGAAUAAACAACAAGUACGUUAUAUUGUUUAGGUCUGCAUCGGGGACUUAGAAGCGUUUGGGAAUUAAAAUUGCGUUUGAUACAUAGGAUGCACAAAAUCACGUUUAUACAAAUGAUGGACAGAAUUUAUUCAAGUGGCUGUGUUCACAUGAGUUUCCAUUCUUUCCACUGACACGUGGUGCCACGACCAAAAUUUAAUUCUGGAAAUUAACUUUUCCCUUAGAGAUGGGUGGAACUGAGUAUACUGUGGGCUACAAUAUUCUUAAAUAAUAUUGUGUAUAUGAAAGAGAUGGUUAAUUAUGAGCAACAGUGGAGUUCUUUAAAACCGAACUAUACAUGACAGAAAGCUGGCAAAUUCCUCUUGAAAGUAACCAGGCACAUAAAAUUGUCUUCUGUGUCAAGUUUUCAGUGCCCCAGCCCACUUCCUGUGCAGCACGGCCCUGCGCGGACAGGGCGUGGGUGAGGAAGGCACUUGGCUUCUGGCCAUUGCUCCUGCCCUAACUAGUUGGCAGCCCUCCCCUCGCUAAACACCCAUGCAAAGCAAACUCAGACCCAUUAGAAGUAAGAGGGUGAGGAUAUUCCAUUUCUUCGUGGACCACUGCUUGAUUUUCGUUAAACUCACUCAGAUUUAUUUUACACCCUGGACACCUGAGUUUGCGCUUAUUUUCAAGUUGUCAAGGAAUCUUUUCAGAAAUGAAAAAACACGGCUGUUCUAUUUACAUAGACCUUUUAGUUUUCUUCUCACUCUCUCCCUGUAAGUUCUUUUCGCCCUCGUUUUCAAUUUAUUACCUUUUAAGUAUCCUUAAGUAGCAGAUGUUUAAACACCUUUUAAUCGGAGAAACUGCAAGUGUAAUUGCUGGGUUUGGCAGGAAGCAGGUCCCGGAGCCCCUGGCCGGCUGAUAGCUGUGUUCUGCAGGCAGUGGCAUCUCACCGUAGAAGCAGCGAGACCGGAUCGCAGCCUCCAGACAUCUUCUGGCAAGUUCUGGAGAAGUUUUGCAAUUAACCAGUGGAAUUGGCAUGAAUUGAAAGGAUGCGUAAGGAAAACAUCAGUUCCUGCUGUCAUACCGGCUUCAAGCUCCAGCACCAGAAACAACGACAACAGCCUCAUGGAGACUAUUUAACCAGCUCCUACAGCUGUGUACAGCAAACAUGGAUCUACUUUGCCAAGUCUUUUCCCAUGAUGCUGAUGCCUCCGCGCAGACCUUCUUGGUGAGGGGCACAGACACACGUCUGGUGACACUCCCUGGGCCCCCACUUGGACACCCCAGAGACAUUCCAGUGCACCAUGAGCAAAACGGAAUUGCCCCUCAAGCCUCACCCGCCAUCCUUAUGUGGCCUCCUACUGCCCUAUACCAAUCAACAGCCCACGCCACCUCCUGGACAUCCUCCCCUCCUUUUUUUCAGCUCCAUCGCUGUCUCUUUGCCCCUCCACCAUGCUGACCAGGACUGUUGCAAGAGACCCUCAACUGCUCUCCUUGCCUCCAUCCUCACCUCCUCGAAUUCCUUCUCUACACUUAAGCCACUGAGCCUUUUAAAAUGCAAAUCUGACUAUGUCACUCUUGGGGCCAAAAGCCACCCAUUGUGUCCAUUGGCCCUUUGGAUGAAAUUCAAAGCCAUAGUCCUGACUUCCUGGCCUGCACAACCUUGACUCCCUCCUCUUGGACCCUAUGUGUCAGCCCAGCCACUCUGAACUUCUUUCUAUAACUUCUGUGCUCACUCCCUUUGCCUGGAAACCACCUCCCCCCACUCCCCACUCUUCUACACCACCCGGGGGGAGCCUUGUCUAUGUUGUCCGUGUCCCGUCGUCACCCCCCAUCACGCCCCCACCGCCCCAGCUCAGUGUGAAUGCCCUUUCGUGAUCCCAUUAGAUGAUGUUGGGGGCUUCUGCUCUGUAUCCCAACUCCUCAAGCCCUACCCCCCUAAUAUAAUAAAAUUCAUGUCCGCUCUGUGUCCUGCCCUCACUUUACUAUAUGGAGUCUCUCUGAUCUGACUUUAAGAGAGGUUGCUGAUGGCUCUUAAACAGGACUCAGGGCCUCCUCUCUUCGACCUCUAAGUAUUGACGUCUGUAGGACCACGUUCUGAGGCCUCUUUUCUUCCCCAUCCAUUCUUUCCCCAGGUAAUUACCUUUUGCAGGUAAUUGCUUUUGGCUUUACAUGUAAUUAGGGUGACAGACCAUCCCCGUUUGCUGGGGACCGAGGGGUUUCCUGGAAUGUGGCACUUUAAGGGCUGAAAACGGGAAAGUCCUGGGCAAACUGGGAUGACGGGGUCACCCUAGUUACCAUCCAAUGCUGGCAAUCCCAAAAAUUCAUAUCUGCAGCCCAGUCUCUCCCCUGAGUGCCAGACAUGGGAAUUGAAUACUUAAUUGGCAUUUCCAUUGUGAUGUGUCAUUGGCAUCUCAAAGCUGAGGUGGCCCAGACAAGGCUGUGGUCCCAGAAAACCUCAUCCCACUGUCACCCAACUCACUAGACUCCACCCGUCCUCAAACAUGCCCAACUGCUUCCCAUCUCAGGACCUUUGCACCUGUCAUUUCUUCUACAGGAAACACCCUUCCCCUCCUCUUCUCUGUUAGCCACUGCUCUUCCUUCUAGUUUCAGCCUAAUUGCCACUUCUUCAUAGAGUCCUUUCUGGACCUAAAGCAGCCCACUUCCCUAUUCCAUCAUAUCACCUGGCUUAUAUUUCUCAUGGCACUUACAACCGGAAAUGAUCUUAUUCAUGGCAUUGCUUACUUGUUUACUGUGGUUCUCUCUCCCUCUACCUGCCUGCCCUCUCUAGGAUGCAAACCCAUGAAGGGAGGGCUUUUGUCCUGUUCAUCUACAAGAGUGCCUGGCUCACAGCAGGCUCAAAAAUUUUGAUGCAUGGAAGAAUUAAUCAAUAUAUUGGAAUAAGAAUGUGUUUGAGAGGCGAAACUGAGCAAUUUUCCUAAAACAAGUUCUGUGUCGGAGUAUAUUAUUCACUGACAAAAUGUUCCCAUUUUUCCCCAUUUUAUUUAAUUAUGCAUCCUCUGUCUCGUGUCUUGACAGGGCAGUUGAUGGUGCAACAGAGCAUUUCCUCGCAGGGUAUUGAUGCAGAGAGCAAAUUGGGAGAAAAUUUGUUGUUAACCCUGGAAAAUAUUCAACAUUUUACUUCAUGACUUGGAGUAAAUGCUCAUGAAUUUUUUUUAAGACUUUACUUUUUAGAGCAGCUUUGGGUUCACAGCAAAAUCAAAGGAAGGUACAGAGAUUUCCCAUUUACCUCCUGCCUCUACACAUGCGUAGCCCGCCAAUUAUCCACAUCCCCACCAGACUGGUUCCUUUGUUACAAUCGAUGAACCUGCAUUGACUCAACAGAAUCACCCAAGUCCAUAGUUUACAUUGGGUUUCCCUCUGGGUGUUGUACAUUCUAUAAUUUGGACUAAUGGGUGAUAAUAUGUAUCCAUCACUAUGUUACCAAAUGGAAUGUUUUCACUGUAUCCUUUGCUCUGCCUAUUUAUCCCUCCCUCACUCCUUUAACCCCGGGAAGGCACUCAUCUUUUCACUGUGUCCAUAGUUUUGCCUUUCCCAAAAUGUCAUAUAUUUGGAAUCAUGCAGUAUGCAGCCUUUUCAGAGUGGCUUCUCUCAGUAAUAUGCAUUUAAGGUUCCUCCAUGUUUUUUCAUGGCUUGAUAGCUAUUUCUUUUUGGCAUUGAAAAAUAUGCCAUUGCCUGGAUGGACCCCAGUUUGUCCAUUCACCUACUGAAUUUUGCAUUCCCACCAGCAAGGCAUGAGAGUUCCUUUGCUCCACAUCCUCACCAGCAUGCGGCGCUGUCAGUGGUCCAGAUUUUGACUAUUCUAAUAGCCCCCCAGUACAUAGUUGUAUAUUCUAGUUGUGGGUCCUUCUGGUUGCGUUAUGUGAGAUGCAGCCUCAACAAGGCCUGAUGAGUGGUGCCAGGUCCGCAUGCAGGAGCUGAACUGGCGAAACCCUGGGCUGCCGGAGCAGAGUGUGCGAACCUAACCACUCGGCCACAGGGCAGGCCCCUCACCUGGCUUUUUUGAAAGGAUGGCAGCUCCUUGGGACGCACCUUCUGGCUCACCACUGUGAUCUCAGCACCUGGUGUAUGGAGACUUCCGAGAACAAGAGUUAAGUAAGCGAGCAAGCCCAUGAAUGGAUGGAGAAUGAACGUGGUCCAGGAAAGUGCUUUGGUCACAUACUUGUUAGAGACUGAAUGUUUGUAUUCCCCGCCCCCCCCCCCAAAUUCGUGUGUUGAAACCCCAACCCAAAACCCAAAAGAGUGGGCCCUGAUAUGAUAGGAUUAGUGUCCUUCAAGAAGAGACACCAGAGAGCUGGCUCUCUGGCUCUCCCCAAGCACACACCCAGAGAAGGCCGGGCGAGGACACAGCGAGAAGGCGGCCAUCUGCAAGCCAGGAAGAGAGCGCUCACCAGGAACCCAACUCUGCCAGAAUCUUGAUCUGGGACUUUCCAGUCUCCUGAACAGUGAGAAAAUGUAUUUCUGUUGUUUAGGUUCCCCCAUCUAUGGUAUUUUGCUAUGGCGGCCUGAGCUGCCUAAUACAUCCUCUGGUAUUCAUUUGGAAUGUGGACUCUGGAGUCACGUGUCCUUGGUCCCUAUCAGCUGGCUGGUUGGCCCACAGUGAAAAUACUUCAGUUUACUAUCCAUAAACGGGAGUGGAAAAUUACCCUAAGAAGUGAUUCUGAAAAGAUUCUUGUUCUUUGUGACAAGUUUUCCAAAAAGAAGUUACAAAAAGAUCGUCUUUAUUUGGGGGAGUUCUUUGAACGGUCUUCUCGUCACUGACUCAAUCCUGCCCGUGUUUGUCUCCACCUCCAGCUCAUCUUUUGGGCGCUUGUUAAACAAAUAAUGUACACGCCCAGGGUUGGAUUUACGAUUUUUAUGCAGAUUGUUAAAAAUAGCACAACUGUGGGCAGAGGAGUGACCACAGGAAGUGAUUCACUUCCUCUGGUCAGCUCCUCUGAUACCUACCAAGCCCUGAGAAAAAGAAAUAAUAGAAGAAGUUCUGUUGGAGGCACGUGGUAGGUCAUCGCUGGACUGGACCUGGCAAUCACGUGGUCUGACAACCGUACUGGACAGACAAGGAGCUUAAAAGCCACCAAGCGCAUAGUGGCUCGCUUAAAGGACACUGGGGGUCUGCUACCAUCUCUUGAUCCCUAUUUUUGCCGGUGGCUAACCCUAUCUAAGUUACGUUUCUGCUUGCCACCAGGGCCAUACGCCUGUGAGGUCUGGGAUCAGGCUGAACGUCCACUCCCCAAUCCCAGUUCUUCACUCUAGCAUGUAUAUGGGGCAGUUGGUAAGAAUGGGCUCUAACUGCAAUCAAGACCCCUUCCCCUCUGCUUUCCGGGAGACAAUGGAGGCUCGUGUUGGGGGUGAGGGUUCCCAUUGGUGGGCCUUGGUUUGCUUCAGUCCAGUUUCAAUAAACCCCUCACAACAGUCCAAACUGUUCGACCUGGUCUUGCCUGUAGACUGUUUCUACUUCUCUUAGAUGAUGGUGUGCCCAGAUGAGAAUAAUUAUAAUGAUCUUGAGCCUUGUCUGGUUUUUUAGAGACUACAUUUUCUCUGGGGUGGUCUCAUUCAUGUGAACCCCCUCUAGAGGCUCUUUGGUGUCCUUUAUUCGAUUUGAUAUCUGGGAAACGGAACAGGGUUCAAAGGACUCACAGGCUGACUUUGAACCUUCCUGGGCCCACCCCCCAGGUCCCCUGCCCCAGCCCGAGAGAUGGGGAAAUACGAUUUUACCCAGGACCUUAAAAGCAGGUGGGGUGUAGAGGGAGCAACUCCCACAUGGUGGGUCUGGGCCCUUGGAAGCCACCAGUUCUCCUUUCUUAUUCUUAGUCUCAGUCAAAGG